AUUGAACGCUGGCGGCAUGCCUUACACAUGCAAGUCGAACGGCAGCGCGGGCUUCGGCCUGGCGGCGAGUGGCGAACGGGUGAGUAACAUAUCGGAACGUGCCCUGGAGUGGGGGAUAACUAGUCGAAAGAUUAGCUAAUACCGCAUACGAUCUACGGAGGAAAGUGGGGACCGCAAGGCCUCAUGCUCGUGGAGCGGCCGAUAUCUGAUUAGCUAGNGGUGGGGUAAAGCCUACCAAGGCCACGAUCAGUAGCUGGUCUGAGAGGACGACCAGCCACACUGGGACUGAGACACGGCCCAGACUCCUACGGGAGGCAGCAGUGGGGAAUUUUGGACAAUGGGCGCAAGCCUGAUCCAGCAAUGCCGCGUGAGUGAAGAAGG
rnacentral:rRNA from 1 species